rnacentral:rRNA from 1 species
AACGAACGCUGGCGGCAGGCUUAACACAUGCAAGUCGAGCGCCUCGCAAGAGGAGCGGCAGACGGGUGAGUAACGCGUGGGAAUCUACCGUGCCCUAAGGAAUAGCUCCGGGAAACUGGAAUUAAUACCUUAUACGCCCUUUGGGGGAAAGAUUUAUCGGGGUAUGAUGAGCCCGGGUUGGAUUAGCUAGUUGGUGGGGUAAAGGCCUACCAAGGCGACGAUCCAUAGCUGGUCUGAGAGGAUGAUCAGCCACAUUGGGACUGAGACACGGCCCAAACUCCUACGGGAGGCAGCAGUGGGGAAUAUUGGACAAUGGGCGCAAGCCUGAUCCAGCCAUGCCGCGUGAGUGAUGAAGGCCCUAGGGUUGUAAAGCUCUUUCACCGGUGAAGAUAAUGACGGUAACCGGAGAAGAAGCCCCGGCUAACUUCGUGCCAGCAGCCGCCGUAAAAC